UUGGCUGCUAUUUUUGUUGUUCUUACAGGACUUUCUUAUUUGUCUGGAAGUAUUUGUGGUCGCGAUUGCCCAAAAUUACCUUUUCCCUUAUAAACCUUACGUGCGGAGUCAGGAAGAAGGCUCAUGUUUCAAAUCUUUCUUGGCCAUGAGGAACUUCUCAGAUGCUACAGACGAUGUCGCUGAACAGAUUAGUCAUAUGGGUACAAGUACCAGCCAUUCAACUCUUUCAAGAUGCACCAUCUGUGGACAACACAAACGAAAAAAUCACACUGAGGGUCAGGAUGAAAAAAUUCCCACUGGCGGUCAGGAUGAGAAAUAAAACUCACCUUCCUUACCACCAACCUCUGAAGAUGGCUUUUCUUGUGUCUCUUCUCUGCCACGUGCUGUGACACAUCACACUGCACACACUGUGAUCAACAUGCCUGAGGAAAUGGUUGGUGAAACUGCAGGAGCAAAAAAGUGUGAAUAUAUUGCCCUUACUAUACCAGAUGAAGUGGUUAGUGACAGCCCAGAUGACACUUCGGAGACGGGAGAAGAGGAAGCGGUGAAGGAGGUAGAUGAGUGAGGGGUGCCGGCCUCAGGCCCGGGGAGUGCACAUCCUGGGCCCAAGUGGACACCCCGGACCUGAGUGCCUCUGCAGGGCCCCGUGAGGACCCUUUUCACACAGGAAAUUGUGAUGAUAUUGAAAACAUAGCAGGAGAAAUGGAAGGAACUACUCCAGAGGAAGUCACUGAAUACUCAGCUUUUACUAUUCUAUAGCUGUGUUCUGGGAAAGAUACAGUGAACUUCAGGGCUCAGAUUGGAAGGGGAGAGGCAAGAAUCCAAAGUAUCAAAAAACACUUGAGCUCCUGGACUGCGCGACAACAGACCCAGCAAGGACCCAAAGACCCCAGAGGGAGUCUUUUCAGCUGCAUGCCUGUAAAAAACAUUUUUCAUAUUGAUCAUGCUUUAUUAGCAAUUAUUGGAAAAUGUG